UACGAAGGGGGCUAGCGUUGUUCGGAUUUACUGGGCGUAAAGCGCACGUAGGCGGAUUGUUAAGUCAGGGGUGAAAUCCUGGAGCUCAACUCCAGAACUGCCUUUGAUACUGGCAAUCUAGAGUCCGGAAGAGGUGAGUGGAACUCCUAGUGUAGAGGUGGAAUUCGUAGAUAUUAGGAAGAACACCAGUGGCGAAGGCGGCUCACUGGUCCGGAACUGACGCUGAGGUGCGAAAGCGUGGGGAGCGAACAGG
rnacentral:rRNA from 1 species